rnacentral:rRNA from 1 species
AAGCGGUGGAGCAUGUGGUUAAUUCGAAGCAACGCGAAGAACCUUACCAGGCCUUGACAUGCAGAGAACUUUCCAGAGAUGGAUUGGUGCCUUCGGGAACUCUGACACAGGUGCUGCAUGGCUGUCGUCAGCUCGUGUCGUGAGAUGUUGGGUUAAGUCCCGUAACGAGCGCAACCCUUGUCCUUAGUUACCAGCACGUUAUGGUGGGCACUCUAAGGAGACUGCCGGUGACAAACCGGAGGAAGGUGGGGGAUGACGUCAAGUCAUCAUGGCCCUUACGGCCUGGGCUACACACGUGCUACAAUGGUCGGUACAAAGGGUUGCCAAGCCGCGAGGUGGAGCUAAUCCCAUAAAACCGAUCGUAGUCCGGAUCGCAGUCUGCAACUCGACUGCGUGAAGUCGGAAUCGCUAGUAAUCGUGAAUCAGAAUGUCACGGUGAAUACGUUCCCGGGCCUU